rnacentral:rRNA from 1 species
AACGAACGCUGGCGGCAUGCCUAACACAUGCAAGUCGAACGAGACCUUCGGGUCUAGUGGCGCACGGGUGCGUAACGCGUGGGAAUCUGCCCUUGGGUGCGGAAUAACAGUUAGAAAUGACUGCUAAUACCGCAUAAUGACUCCGGUCCAAAGAUUUAUCGCCCAAGGAUGAGCCCGCGUCGGAUUAGCUAGUUGGUGAGGUAAAAGCUCACCAAGGCGACGAUCCGUAGCUGGUCUGAGAGGAUGAUCAGCCACACUGGGACUGAGACACGGCCCAGACUCCUACGGGAGGCAGCAGUGGGGAAUAUUGGACAAUGGGCGAAAGCCUGAUCCAGCAAUGCCGCGUGAGUGAUGAAGGCCUUAGGGUUGUAAAGCUCUUUUACCCGGGAUGAUAAUGACAGUACCGGGAGAAUAAGCCCCGGCUAACUCCGUGCCAGCAGCCGCCGUAACAC